AGAGUUUGAUCAUGGCUCAGAACGAACGCUGGCGGCAGGCCUAACACAUGCAAGUCGAGCGCGCCUUCGGGCGAGCGGCGGACGGGUUAGUAACGCGUGGGAACGUGCCCAGAUCUACGGAAUAGCCACUGGAAACGGUGAGUAAUACCGUAUACGCCCUUAGGGGGAAAGAUUUAUCGGAUUUGGAUCGGCCCGCGUUAGAUUAGGUAGUUGGUGGGGUAACGGCCUACCAAGCCUACGAUCUAUAGCUGGUUUUAGAGGAUGAUCAGCAACACUGGGACUGAGACACGGCCCAGACUCCUACGGGAGGCAGCAGUGGGGAAUCUUGGACAAUGGGGGAAACCCUGAUCCAGCCAUGCCGCGUGAGUGAAGAAGGCCCUAGGGUCGUAAAACUCUUUCGCCUGUGAUGAUAAUGACAGUAGCAGGUAAAGAAACCCCGGCUAACUCCGUGCCAGCCGCCGCGGUAAUAC
rnacentral:rRNA from 1 species